GUUGGGAUGAUGAAAAAAAACCAAAUCAGUCGGAUUCGCAUUGAUUUUCGUUAACAUGAUCACAAACCAGCUACUUCUGACUAAA